UUGUAUUAGAGCUUUUCUGCCGACAGUCAUCAGAAUGAUCUGCAUGUCCCAGAAGGACAUUGAGCCAACACUGACAGAAGAUCUGAGCUGCAGUGUCACCCCAACGGCUUGGAGAACUGGAAGCACCAUAAACGUCCUCUCCUUUGACAGAUCUGCUCUUUUAUUCCAUAUUGAACCAGCAAGAGUCAUAGAUGAGAAAACUGAGGCACUGAAAGGCUUGUCGAAUAUUAUACAAUUUGUUCUCUCUAAGGAGUAAGGAAACUCCAGAACCUUCCCAGCAGACAACUCUUCACAUCUCAUUGGCACAUGCCUACUCCUAAACCAAUUAGGUAAUAGCCCAAAUCUUAGCCCAGCCCUGGAAUUGGAGUCAGCUUCUUGAAUGUUGUGCAAGUUUAGGUAACACACCCUUUAUCUGGGAACAAGCAGAUCAGAGAAGCCAAGAGAUGGAGGAGAAGCAGGGACAG